rnacentral:lncRNA from 1 species
CAAAUGACGAAAUUAAAAGGUAAACCGAACUGUCACCACACGAUCCGAUGCCAUCCACACGAGGAACACAUCCAGCUUCUUUCGACAUGUUUGGAUGUGUAAAGAUCAUUGAACAAUCUAAUUAAUGAAUCUUCGCAAUAAAUCUCAUGCAAUGCACGAAUGACAGGGACAGCUUUCAAUUUGUCAGUGGCUCAUUGACCGGUGAUCAAUUUAAUGGCAGAACAAAAUCUUCACACCAGGAGCCCCCAUUUAUAAUUCCACACGGCGCAAGAUGCACAAGGAAAACACGAUUCAAAAGAAGGAGAACCACUGAUCCAAAGAAUUCUUUACCUGGUUCCAGCAGUUUGCAGAUUUCGUCAAACA